ACUCCUACGGGAGGCAGCAGUGGGGAAUUUUGGACAAUGGGCGAAAGCCUGAUCCAGCAAUGCCGCGUGAGUGAAGAAGGCCUUCGGGUUGUAAAGCUCUUUUGUCAGGGAAGAAACGGUGAGAGCUAAUAUCUUUUGCUAAUGACGGUACCUGAAGAAUAAGCACCGGCUAACUACGUGCCAGCAGCCGCGGUAAUACGUAGGGUGCAAGCGUUAAUCGGAAUUACUGGGCGUAAAGCGUGCGCAGGCGGUUUUGUAAGUCUGAUGUGAAAUCCCCGGGCUCAACCUGGGAAUUGCAUUGGAGACUGCAAGGCUAGAGUCUGGCAGAGGGGGGUAGAAUUCCACGUGUAGCAGUGAAAUGCGUAGAUAUGUGGAGGAACACCGAUGGCGAAGGCAGCCCCCUGGGUCAAGAUUGACGCUCAUGCACGAAAGCGUGGGGAGCAAACAGGAUUAGAAACCCGAGUAGUCCCAUGA
rnacentral:rRNA from 1 species